UUUGUUCUAAUAGUAAUUCUGCUCAGUACGAGAGGAACCGCAGAUUCAGACAAUUGGCAUUUGCACUUGGCUGAAAAGCCAAUGGUGCGAAGCUACCAUCUGUUGGAUCAUGACUGAACGCCUCUAAGUCAGAAUCCUUGCUAGAACGCAACGAUAAUUACCUCCGGAGAAUCUUAGGCGAACAAGGAUAGAGAACGGGCUUGCCCGCUCUACAAGAAAAACAUGAUAUUCUGACUACUUCUUGCCCCAGCGAAAUCGCCUACUACACAUGUUUGAAUUUCUUUGUUAUUAUUUUGUUUUAAACUCUAGACCGUUGCUUUACCCGUCUUUAAAUA
rnacentral:ncRNA from 1 species